rnacentral:rRNA from 1 species
GUCUUCGGACCAAAGUGGGGGACCUUCGGGCCUCACGCCAUCAGAUGUGCCCAGAUGGGAUUAGCUAGUAGGUGGGGUAAUGGCUCACCUAGGCGACGAUCUCUAGCUGGUCUGAGAGGAUGACCAGCCACACUGGAACUGAGACACGGUCCAGACUCCUACGGGAGGCAGCAGUGGGGAAUAUUGCACAAUGGGCGCAAGCCUGAUGCAGCCAUGCCGCGUGUAUGAAGAAGGCCUUCGGGUUGUAAAGUACUUUCAGCGAGGAGGAAGGCAUUAAGGUUAAUAACCUUGGUGAUUGACGUUACUCGCCAGAA